GGAGGGUACAGCUCAGUGGUAGAGCACAUGCCUAGCAUACCUGAGGUCCUGGGUUCCAUCCCCAGCACCUCUA
rnacentral:tRNA from 1 species